UACGGAGGGAGCUAGCGUUGUUCGGAUAUACUGGGCGUAAAGCGCACGUAGGCGGCGCCGUAAGUCAGGGGUGAAAUCCCUCGGCUUAACCGGGGAACUGCGUCUGAUACUGGAUGGCUUGAAUCCGGGAGAGGGAUGCGGAAUUCCAGGUGUAGCGGUGAAAUGCGUAGAUAUCUGGAGGAACACCGGUGGCGAAGGCGGCAUCCUGGACCGGCAUUGACGCUGAGGAGCGAAAGCGUGGGGAGCGAACAGG
rnacentral:rRNA from 1 species